rnacentral:rRNA from 1 species
GAUAAACGCUGGCGGCGUGCAUAACACAUGCAAGUCGAACGAAGUGGCGAACGGGUGAGUAACACGUGAGUAACCUGCCUUACACAAGGGGAUAGCCUUUGGAAACGAAGAAUAAUACCCUAUAGUGUAAGAUGGACUUGCGUCUGAUUAGCUAGUUGGUGAGAUAAAAGCCCACCAAGGCGACGGUCAGUAGCCGGCGUUAGAGCGGUUACGGCCACAAUUGGACUGUGGAACGGCCCAAACUCUACCGGAGGCAACAGUGGGGAAAUUUGCACAAGUGGGGAAACCCUGAUGCAGCGACGCCGCGUGAUUUAGAAGGCCUUCGGGUUGUAAAAAUCUUUUUUAUGGGAUGCAGUACCAUAAGAAUAAGGUCCGGCUAAAUACGUGCCAGCCGCCGCGGUAAUAC